AGGAAGCUCUCUUAGGUCCACUUUGUCAAGCCCACGGGUCCACAAAUUAAAAGAGAGAUAAGGCUUCAUCAUCUUUUCUUCUUUCUACUCUUUUAAAAGUAACUAGAAUAGUUAAGAGCUCUCUCCCUCUUUCAUUCCUACGGGUCCAACACCAAAAGAAGGAAAAGCUCUCAAUUCUUUUCUCCCUUUCACACCUAUGAGUCUAGCAGCAAGGAAAGAUGUUUCUUUCAAUUCUUCUCAAGAUUUUGUACCCAACUUGAAGCUAAAGUGAUUCUAGCUCUAUCACUCCAAGAAUCCAUGUCUAGGGUGUUACUAGUUCCCCAGGUCCAAGCUCCUUCGACUGUAGGCUCUCGGUUCCUCUGCUUUCAGGUUUUAUUUUGAAGCAGAGGGAGCCUUAGUCGAGUUUUGGAAGGAGCUGGUUUAGUUUUAAAAGUAGAGAUCCCAAAUUAGCAUUCUGACGUUUAGCUUUAUAGUUAUUGUGUAUUUUAGGAUAUAAUGAAAGUGUAUACCUUAAAGUAUUAAGAGAUAUAUUAUGUGAAAUUCAAAAUUUGAAUAAUUGGUGGAUUGUAUUAUCCUUUGAGGUACAAUGUAGAUGCUCUGAAUAUCAA